rnacentral:lncRNA from 1 species
UCCCUUCUACAUCUAUUCUGUUGAUAAUAAUUCCCAUCAUAAUUAUCAUCUUGCUUAUUGCAAUAUCUCUUCUCAUUGUAAUGCUUAAGCGCAUACAGUCUGCCAAAGACAAUGGGAUUAGUUCAAAAAGCAGAAGUGUCAUCAACAAUAGCAAUUGUAUGUUCAUUGCUCAUAGUACCAUUAACAUCCAUUCCAGCCCAGGUAAUUAAGGAGAACUCUCCGUUCCAAAAUUUUCUAUUUCUCCUUUUCCUUAUAUUAAUGAUGAUUUAAGAGCAUCUUCAUCUUCAAGUGAAAAUAUUAACAUGCUGGAAAAUGACUUAACUUCUUCAAGUACACAUAUUUGCACACUGGCAAAUGUACAAAUGCAUUUAUGAGCAUUGUUCAAAUAUGGAAAACCCCUCCAUAUUUUUGAUUUUUCGGUACAUGACAAAGACAAAGUCAUGUGCAAAACAACAAAUUUUGCGUAAAUCUUAUGAUAAACAUUACUUGAUAGUCUAGUAAAAGUGGCAAAUAAUCUGCUAUCAAAGGCUAAAGUACUACUACUAUGUCAAAAUCUUCUUACACUGUCAGUGUUUAUAACUUCAAUUUAUAUGACAAUAUGAUUGGCAGAAGUGAAGGGUGGAUGUCUGCAUGGAGGAAGUUCAGGGCGAAUGCCACAACCUAAAUUGAGAGGAGUUCAAGUAUUCACUUACAAAGAGCUGGAGAUGUCCACAGACAAAUUUAGUGAGGCAAAUGUCAUCGGGAAUGGAGGUUAUGGGGUUGUCUACAAAGGAGUCCUCACUGAUGGGACUGUGGCUGCAAUUAAAGUUUUGCAGAGGGA